rnacentral:rRNA from 1 species
AGUGAACGCUGGCGGUAGGCCUAACACAUGCAAGUCGAACGGCAGCACAGUAAGAGCUUGCUCUUACGGGUGGCGAGUGGCGGACGGGUGAGGAAUACAUCGGAAUCUACUUUUUCGUGGGGGAUAACGUAGGGAAACUUACGCUAAUACCGCAUACGACCUACGGGUGAAAGCAGGGGAUCUUCGGACCUUGCGCGAUUGAAUGAGCCGAUGUCGGAUUAGCUAGUUGGCGGGGUAAAGGCCCACCAAGGCGACGAUCCGUAGCUGGUCUGAGAGGAUGAUCCGCCACACUGGAACUGAGACACGGUCCAGACUCCUACGGGAGGCAGCGGUGGGGAAUAUUGGACGAUGGGCGCAAGCCUGAUCCAGCCCUACCGCGUGGGUGAAGAAGGCCUUCGGGUUGUAAAGCCCUUUUGUUGGGAAAGAAAAGCAGCAGGUUAAUACCCCGCUGUUCUGACGGUACCCAAAGAAUAAGCACCGGCUAACUUCGUG